rnacentral:rRNA from 1 species
GUCAGCAGCUAGCGCUCUGCAAAUCUCACCUGGUCGCCCACUGAAGCUAGGCAAGGCUGCUUUUGGGCAGUACCUGGAUGAGAGACCACAAGGGAAAGCUAGGUUGCUGCUGGAA